CCUGACGCAGCGACGCCGCGUGGGUGAUGAAGGCCUUCGGGUUGUAAAGCCCUGUUGCCUACUAUGAACCGCCGGCGGUGAAUAGCUGUCCGGUCUGACGUAAGUAGGAGAGGAAGCACCGGCUAAAUACGUGCCAGCAGCCGCGGUAAUACGUAUGGUGCGAACGUUGUUCGGAAUCACUGGGCAUAAAGGGCGCGUAGGCGGUUCGGUUAGUCCGACUGUGAAAUCCCUCGGCUCAACCGAGGAACUGCAUCGGAUACUGCCGGACUAGAGUACAGAAGGGGAGAGCGGAAUUCCUGGUGGAGCGGUGAAAUGCGUAGAUAUCAGGAGGAACGCCAGUGGCGAAAGCGGCUCUCUGGUCUGCAACUGACGCUGAGGCGCGAAAGCCAGGGGAGCGAACGGGAUUAGAUACCCCGGUAGUCCUGGCCCUAAACGAUGGGCACUAGGUAGAGGGAGUACCGAUACUUUCUCUGCUGGAGCUAAUGUAUUAAGUGCCCCGCCUGGGGAGUAUGGUCGCAAGGCUAAAACUCAAAGGAAUUGACGGCGCCUGGGGAGUACGGUCGCAAGACUAAAACUCAAAUGAAUUGACGG
rnacentral:rRNA from 1 species